rnacentral:rRNA from 1 species
GUCCACGCCCUAAACGAUGUCGACUGGUUGUUGGGGGUUUGACACUCUCAGUAACGAAGCUAACGCGUGAAGUCGACCGCCUGGGGAGUACGGCCGCAAGGUUAAAACUCAAAGGAAUUGACGGGGACCCGCACAAGCGGUGGAUUAUGUGGAUUAAUUCGAUGCAACGCGAAAAACCUUACCUACCCUUGACAUGUCCGAGAGCCUGGAGAGAUCCAGGUGUGCCCGAAAGGGAAUCGGAACACAGGUGCUGCAUGGCUGUCGU